rnacentral:rRNA from 1 species
CUUGGUCAUUUAGAGGAAGUAAAAGUCGUAACAAGGUUUCCGUAGGUGAACCUGCGGAAGGAUCAUUACAUUCAGUAGCCUAGCUACUUGUUUAUACCCUUGUUUUUUGCGUACCUAUUGUUUCCUCGGUGGGCUUGCCUGCCGGUUGGACAACACUAUAACCUUUUUAAAUCUUCAAUCAGCGUCUGAAUUAUACAUAAUAAUUACAACUUUCAACAACGGAUCUCUUGGUUCUGGCAUCGAUGAAGAACGCAGCGAAAUGCGAUAAGUAGUGUGAAUUGCAGAAUUCAGUGAAUCAUCGAAUCUUUGAACGCACAUUGCGCCCGCCAGUAUUCUGGCGGGCAUGCCUGUUCGAGCGUCAUUUCAACCAUCAAGCCCCAGGCUUGUGUUGGGGCCCUGCGGAGACGCAGACCCCUAAAAGCAGUGGCGGGCUCGCUGUCAUCCCGAGCGCAGUAUUGUACCUUCGCUUUGGGCGUGGCGGCGGGUUCCGGCCGUGAAACCACCUAUUUUUCAAGGUUGACCUCGGAUCAGGUAGGGUUACCCGCUGAACUUAAGCAUAUCAAUAAGCGGAGGA